rnacentral:SRP_RNA from 1 species
GUCGGGUGCAGUGGCGCGCGCCUGUAAUCCAAGCUGCUGGGAGACUGAGGCUGGCGGAUCGCUUGAGUUCAGGGGUUCUGGGCUGCAGUGGACUAUGUUGAUCAGGUGUCCACACUAAGUUCGGUAUCGAUAUGGUGUUCCUGGGGGAGCUCGGGACCACCAGGUCGUCUAAGGAGGGGUGAACCGGCCCAGGUCGGAGACGGAGCAGGUCAAAGCCCCCGUGUCGAUCAGUAGUGGGAUCGCGCCUGUGAAUAGACACUGCAGUGCAGCCUGAGCGAUACAGCGAGACUCAGUCUUUU